rnacentral:rRNA from 1 species
CUGGGGUGAAGUCGUAACAAGGUAGCCGUACCGGAAGGUGCGGCUGGAUCACCUCCUUUCUAAGGAGAAUU